rnacentral:rRNA from 1 species
UGCAAGUCGAACGGCAGCACGGACUUCGGUCUGGUGGCGAGUGGCGAACGGGUGAGUAAUGUAUCGGAACGUGCCUAGUAGCGGGGGAUAACUACGCGAAAGCGUAGCUAAUACCGCAUACGCCCUACGGGGGAAAGCAGGGGAUCGCAAGACCUUGCACUAUUAGAGCGGCCGAUAUCGGAUUAGCUAGUUGGUGGGGUAACGGCUCACCAAGGCGACGAUCCGUAGCUGGUUUGAGAGGACGACCAGCCACACUGGGACUGAGACACGGCCCAGACUCCUACGGGAGGCAGCAGUGGGGAAUUUUGGACAAUGGGGGAAACCCUGAUCCAGCCAUCCCGCGUGUGCGAUGAAGGCCUUCGGGUUGUAAAGCACUUUUGGCAGGAAAGAAACGUCAUGGGUUAAUACCCCGUGAAACUGACGGUACCUGCAGAAUAAGCACCGGCUAACUACGUGCCAGCAGCCGCGGUAAUACGUAGGGUGCAAGCGUUAAUCGGAAUUACUGGGCGUAAAGCGUGCGCAGGCGGUUCGGAAAGAAAGAUGUGAAAUCCCAGAGCUUAACUUUGGAACUGCAUUUUUAACUACCGGGCUAGAGUGUGUCAGAGGGAGGUGGAAUUCCGCGUGUAGCAGUGAAAUGCGUAGAUAUGCGGAGGAACACCGAUGGCGAAGGCAGCCUCCUGGGAUAACACUGACGCUCAUGCACG